rnacentral:rRNA from 1 species
CAGCCGCCGCGGUAAUACGUAGGUGGCAAGCGUUGUCCGGAAUUAUUGGGCGUAAAGCGCGCGCAGGUGGUUCAAUAAGUCUGAUGUGACAGCCCACGGCUCAACCGUGGAGGGUCAUUGGAAACUGUUAAACUUGAGUGCAGGAGAGAAAAGUGGAAUUCCUAGUGUAGCGGUGAAAUGCGUAGAGAUUAGGAGGAACACCAGUGGCGAAGGCGGCUUUUUGGCCUGUAACUGACACUGAGGCGCGAAAGCGUGGGGAGCAAACAGGAUUAGAUACCCCAGUAGUCCCUGUCUCUUAUAC